rnacentral:misc_RNA from 1 species
CAAAAUUGUAGAAUUAUUCUGUUUAAUAAAUUAUAAAAAUAUAAUGUUAUAGAAUUAAUUCCGUUGAAAAAAAUAAUUUUUCUGUAAUGAUAAUAAAUUUUUACGAUUGUUAUUGAUUCGUUAGUUUAAAAAGUAAUUGAAAACUACAACGAUGUUGAUAAGGAUUGUUUUUUGUUUAAGUUUUAUUUUUUAUUUUUCAAAUGGCGUCUUCGGGGAUCCGUUGCAUGUUACCUUCGAAAAUAAUAUCGACAGAAGGUCAUUCACGCUUUCCAUGAAGUCCUUGAAGUUCCUAAGAAAAGUCCCCGAAAAACGGAGAAUUGUGAACUUUAAACACUUACCGUCGGCAUUAAAUUAAUUUUGGAAAUAAAUUUCAUACUUAAGAAAGUGUUUUAAUAUUAGUAAUAUUGAUUGCGCUGAAAACCCACGAUUUG